rnacentral:rRNA from 1 species
AUGCCUAUGAGUGGGCCUCUACCGCCGCCGCCGUUAGGUCUUAGGCUCUGCGGUGGUCAGGAAAUGGCCACCAACAAGCGGACGCGCCACCAACAAUCGUCGAUGCUUGGUGCAGCCCAAGCUCAACAACAACCGAUCGUUGUCGAUCACAACCUGCGCGAUCAUGCGGAAAAGGUUUGUACUACUUCAAGGGAGCAGAGGCAGAGGCACAUUGGUAUGAUGAUAUCCACCAUGGUGGCCAGGGCGAGGAAGCAGCUCGAGGCCAAGGAGCAGGAGAUCGAGUGGAUCAGGAGCGUGAAUUGGGCACUCAAGGAGCGCAUCAGGAACCUCCACAUCGAGGCUCAGGCGUGGCGCAAUGUUGCGCAGUCCAACGAGACCGUGGCCAAUGUUCUCCGCGCCGACCUUCAGCAAGUGCUCGAGCAGCAAGCUGUUCGUGGCAGUGGCAGCAACGAUAGUGAGGACGCCGCCGGAUCGUGCUGGGGGGAGAAACAUGUGGCUUUUUGCAGGGAGGAGCAGGAGGAGGAGGAGGGUGAGACACCAGGAGUGGAGCCCCGAGUGACAGAAGUCGAAAUGUGCAAGGGGUGCGGGCAGAGCGCCCCCGUUGUGCUACUGUUGCCGUGCAGACACCUCUGCGUGUGUGCGCCAUGCGCAGAAGCGGCACAGGUAUGCCCAUCGUGCAUAUGCGUCAAGACUGGUAGUAUCAGCAUCAACUUCUCAUGA